rnacentral:lncRNA from 1 species
UCCGACCCUUACCUCAGGGACCGAUGGAGCUAAGGCUAAUAUUGAAGAGAGUUUGCUCUGACAACAGCUCUGACAAUACCAGAAUUUUACUCCCAUGAAGUUGGAGUGUUGUCUAUCUUUAUUAUGCAGCUUGGGAGCUCGAAGGUUAGACUCCCCAGAUCGGUCCCAAUUGGCAAAGCCCCAAUCUAGCAUGGCUGAGCAAGAGACAUAAAACAAAUAUUCUUUCCAACCAUGGAUCGAGAAAAGGGCACCUUGAAUUAGGGCACCAACCCCCUUUCGAGGGAAAACAUGCUACUAAUCCUCAAAUGGGUGCCUCUUGAAGGUACAGAAUGAAUGAAACAAGUCGACAGAUGGCUGGACCUCCAUCAAGAAGCUAGCAGCCAAAAAAAUGAUAAUAAAGUGAAAAGAGUUCGAGACAACCAAACCCAAAGCCAUACCAGAAGACAAGAAAAAUUCAACUACAAA